rnacentral:tRNA from 2 species
GCCGGGGUGGCGGAAUGGCAGACGCGGCGGACUUAAAAUCCGCUUCCCGUAAAGGGAGUGUGGGUUCGAAUCCCACCCUCGGUACCA